AGAGUUUGAUCAUGGCUCAGGAUGAACGCUGGCGGCGUGCUUAACACAUGCAAGUCGAACGGACCAUAUUCGUAUGGUUAGUGGCAGACGGGUGCGUAACACGUGGGUGACCUGCCCUCAAGUGGGGAACAACUCCGCUAACGCGGAGCUAAUACCGCAUAUGUUCGCUUUUUCAGUAAGGCGAGUAAAGCAGUAAUGCGCUUGGGGAUGGGCCUGCGGCGGAUUAGCUAGUUGGUGGGGUAACGGCCUACCAAGGCGAUGAUCCGUAGGGGGCGUGAGAGCGUGGCCCCCCACACUGGCACUGAGACACGGGCCAGACUCCUACGGGAGGCAGCAGUGAGGAAUAUUGCACAAUGGGCGAAAGCCUGAUGCAGCAACGCCGCGUGAGGGACGAAGGCCUUCGGGUCGUAAACCUCUUUUCUGGGGGACGAGUAAGGACGGUACCCCAGGAAUAAGUCUCGGCUAACUACGUGCCAGCAGCCGCGGUAAAACGUAGGAGGCGAGCGUUAUCCGGAUUUACUGGGCGUAAAGCGUACGCAGGUGGCUUCGUUAGUCGGACAUGAAAGCUCCCGGCUUAACUGGGAGAGGUUGUUCGAUACUGCGGGGCUUGAGGUUGGGAGAGGGACGUGGAAUUCCCGGUGUAGUGGUGGAAUGCGUAGAUAUCGGGAGGAACACCAGUGGCGCAAGCGGCGUCCUGGCCCACACCUGACGCUGAGGUACGAAAGCGUGGGUAGCAAACAGGAUUAGAUACCCUGGUAGUCCACGCUGUAAACGAUGUCAACUGGGUGUCGGUAGUUUUACACUAUCGGUGCCGAAGCUAACGCGUUAAGUUGACCGCCUGGGGACUACGGCCGCAAGGCUAAAACUCAAAGGAAUUGACGG
rnacentral:rRNA from 1 species